rnacentral:lncRNA from 1 species
GUCAUCCUGAAGUUUAUGCUGGAUCACGAGGAUUCACCUAACCUUACUGAGGACUUGGAGAAUUUCUUGGAGAAAGUUCCUUCCACCUACCCCAGCACCCUCUCUGAAGAGCUUUCUCCACCCAGCCACCAGGCCAAGAGGAAGAUUCGCUUCCUAGAAAUACAGAGGAUUGCUUCAUCUUCCAGUGAGAACAACUUCCUCUCAGGGUCUCCAUCCUCCCCUGUGGGCGACAUCCUGCAGACCCCACAGUUCCAGAUGAGGCGACUGAAGAAGCAGCUGGCAGAUGAGAGGAACAACAGGGAUGAGCUGGAGCUAGAGCUGUCUGAGAGCCUCAAGCUCCUCACCGAGAAGGACGCUCAGAUCGCCAUGAUGCAGCAGCGCAUCGACCACCUGGCUCUGCUGAAUGAGAAGCAGGCAGCCAGCCCCCAGGAGCCCAGCGAACUUGAGGAGCUCCGUGGCAAGAAUGAAAGCCUCACUGUGCGUCUGCAUGAGACUUUGAAGCAGUGUCAGAACCUGAAGACCGAGAAGAACCAGAUGGAUCGAAAGAUUAGCCAGCUUUCUGAGGAGAACGGGGACCUUUCCUUUAAGGUGCGAGAGUUUGCAAAC